rnacentral:tRNA from 1 species
GAGGGUAUAACUCAGUGGUAGAGCACAUGCUUAGCAUGCAUAAGGUCCUGGUUUCAAUCCCCAGUAUCUCCU